AUUCCUGCAACAAACAUCAUGA
rnacentral:misc_RNA from 1 species